rnacentral:lncRNA from 1 species
AGCAAGCUAUACGAUUCAUCAUUCAUAAACUCACAAAACUUAUAUUCAUCACAACUAUUUUCAACAAUCAAAAUGCCAACUAGAUAAGAAUUUAAAAAUAUUAAUUCUUUUUUUUUAAAUUCGAAAUUCCAAAAGGAAAAAAUGUUAAUUUUAGCGACGCUAUCACCGCAAUGUAAACCCUAAACCAUAAAAGUUAAACUGUAAACGCUAAAUCCAAUAACUAAACCCUAAACAAGAACUCUAAAUCCAAAUGGUAGAACCUAAACCAAAAUUAUAUCGUAUAAACCCUUAAACUAAACCCUAAACCCAAACUCUUGAACCUAAACCAAAACUAUAAACCCUAAACACAAACCUACUUUAAACCCAAACCU